GUUGACGUAGCUUAAAAUAAAGCAUGCCACUGAAGAUGUCAAAAUGAAAAUUUAAAUUUCCGACAACA
rnacentral:tRNA from 1 species